CUGCACUUGAAUGGGGGAUAAUUGAUAAGUGUGAAUGAGAGGAGUAGCAGGAAGAGGAUGAUUUGCCAUUUUGCAAAAAGAGGAGUCACAGAGGGAUCCUAGUGAAGAGGAUUAUAACUUUGCCUGUUUUGUGAUGCGGAGGUGAUGUCAUGUUGUUCUACCAUUUUAUCAUUGUUCCUUCUGAGCCUGAGUGUUCUUUCUCUUGAAGAUUCAAGUGAACCAGGGAAGGAGAAUGACAUCAGACUGGGCUUGUGCCUGAUAAUUCAUUUCUGAAGUGCUUCAAGAUUGACGCAUCAGAUUUGCACAAUGUGCCACUUUAGGAGAUUAUUUCUUCCUUCCUUCAGCCAGACAGAAGACUGCAGUAGGGCAAUAACAGAGAAAUAGAGGCCACCAUCUGUGUGAAUACUUCACUGUGAUUAUCUCUCACCAUCAUCAAAUAGUUCAGAGCACUGAUCCUCACGAGUUGGACAUUUCCCCAUGAAACAGUAGCCUUCUGAGUUCUUGCAAGGAAAUCCAUUGACCCUGAACUGGUCCUUAGGACAGGCAGGCGAGUGGCCAGUGCACAUCUCAGGAAAAUCACAUUCAUCUUUCGCCGGUCUGCAUAUGGACCCUGCUUUUUUUAUCUGUUGAGGAAAAACAAAGAGACUAAAUCCUGGAUACAUUUAGGGUCAUACUGCUUCCCUGUACUGAAGUGUGAUGUGAGACUAUUCAACUGCUGAAGAUCUGAUUUUACCUUUUGCUCAAGC
rnacentral:lncRNA from 1 species